rnacentral:rRNA from 1 species
GAUGAACGCUAGCGGCAGGCCUAACACAUGCAAGUCGAGGGGUAGAGGAAGCUUGCUUCCUUGAGACCGGCGCACGGGUGCGUAACGCGUAUGCAAUCUACCUUAUACAGAGGGAUAGCCCAGAGAAAUUUGGAUUAAUACCUCAUAGUAUUAUGAAAUCGCAUGGUUUUAUAAUUAAAGUUCCAACGGUAUAAGAUGAGCAUGCGUCCCAUUAGUUAGUUGGUAAGGUAACGGCUUACCAAGACAAUGAUGGGUAGGGGUCCUGAGAGGGAGAUCCCCCACACGGGUACUGAGACACGGACCAGACUCCUACGGGAGGCAGCAGUGAGGAAUAUUGGUCAAUGGACGCAAGUCUGAACCAGCCAUGCCGCGUGCAGGAUGACGGUCCUAUGGAUUGUAAACUGCUUUUAUACAGGAAGAAACACUCCCUCGUGAGGGAACUUGACGGUACUGUAGGAAUAAGGAUCGGCUAACUCCGUGCCAGCCGCCGCCGUAACAC